GAUGAACGCUGGCGGCGUGCUUAACACAUGCAAGUCGAACGAGAAAUGUAGACGGAAACCUUCGGGCGGAAGCCUUCAUUUCGAGUGGCGGACGGGUGAGUAACGCGUGGGUAACCUGCCUCAUACAGGGGGAUAACAGUUGGAAACGACUGUUAAUACCGCAUAAGACCACAGCAUCGCAUGAUGCGGGGGUAAAAACUCCGGUGGUAUGAGAUGGACCCGCGUUCGAUUAGCCAGUUGGCGGGGUAACGGCCCACCAAAGCGACGAUCGAUAGCCGAUCUGAGAGGAUGACCGGCCACAUUGGGACUGAGACACGGCCCAAACUCCUACGGGAGGCAGCAGUGGGGAAUAUUGCACAAUGGGGGAAACCCUGAUGCAGCGACGCCGCGUGAGUGAAGAAGUACUUCGGUAUGUAAAGCUCUAUCAGCAGGGAAGAAAAUGACAGUACCUGAGUAAGAAGCCCCGGCUAACUACGUG
rnacentral:rRNA from 1 species